rnacentral:rRNA from 1 species
AUUGAACGCUGGCGGCAGGCCUAACACAUGCAAGUCGAGCGAGCGGCGGACGGGUGAGUAAUGUCUGGUAAACUGCCUGAUGUAGGGGGAUAACUACUGGAAACGGUAGCUAAUACCGCAUACCAUCAGAUGUGCCCAGAUGGGAUUAGCUAGUAGGUGGGGUAACGGCUCACCUAGGCGACGAUCCCUCGCUGGUCUGAGAGGAUGACCAGCGACACUGGAACUGAGACACGGUCCAGCAUCCUACGGGAGGCAGCAGUGGGGAAUAUUGCAAAAUGGGAGCAAGCCUGAUGACGCCAUGCCGCGGGUGUGAAGAAGGCCUUCGGGUUGUAAAGCACUUUCAGCGGGGAGGCGUUACCCGCAGAAGAAGCACCGGCUAACUCCGUGCCAGCAGCCGCGGUAAUAC